rnacentral:rRNA from 1 species
AGAAUGCCGGAAUGAGUAGCGAGAAUAAGGUGAGAAUCCUUAUGGCCGAAUAUCCAAGGUUUCCAGAGUAAAGCUGAUCUGCUCUGGGUAAGUCGGGGCCUAAGGCGAGGACGAGAGUCGUAGCCGAUGGACAACAGGUGGAGAUUCCUGUACUGCGGUAUGACAGAACUGUGGGGACACGUAAGGAAAGCGGAAGCCGGGAAUGGAAAGCCCGGUGCAAGCGGGGUACCAGUCACUCUGGCAAAUCCGGGUGGCAAUGGGAAGCCGUGAUGCGGAGCGAAAUAAAGUAGCGAAGUCCGUGAGCCAUGCGUCAAGAAAAGCCGCUAUCGUUUAUACCGCACCCGUACCGUAAACCGACACAGGUGGAUGAGGAGAGAAUCCUAAGGCCGGCGGAAGAAGCAUUGUCAAGGAACUCGGCAAAAUGGCCCCGUAACUUAGGGAUAAGGGGUGCCUGGGAAACCAGGCCGCAGAGAAUAGGCUCAAGCAACUGUUUAGCAAAAACACAGGUCUAUGCGAAACCGAAAGGUGAGGUAUAUGGGCUGACGCCUGCCCGGUGCUGGAAGGUUAAGAGGAGAGGUUAGCGCAAGCGAAGCUUUGAAUUUAAGCCCCAGUAAACGGCGGCCGUAACAAUAACGGUCCUAAGGUAGCGAAAUUCCUUGUCGGGUAAGUUCCGACCCGCACGAAAGGCGUAAUGAUUUGAGCGCUGUCUCGACAAUGCAUCCGGUGAAAUUGAAGUACCAGUGAAGAUGCUGGUUACCUGCGCCAGGACGGAAAGACCCCAUGGAGCUUUACUCCAGUUUGGUACUGGGACUCGGUAUUGCAUGUACAGGAUAGGUGGGAGGCUAGGAGAUAGUAACGCCAGUUAUUAUGGAGCCGCUGUUGGGAUACCACCCUUGCAGUAUUGGGUUUCUAACCAGCCGCCGUGACCCGGCGGUGGGACAAUGCCAGACGGGGAGUUUGACUGGGGCGGUCGCCUCCGAAAGGGUAUCGGAGGCGCCCAAAGGUUCCCUCAGAAUGGACGGAAACCAUUCGAAGAGUGCAAAGGCAGAAGGGAGCUUGACUGCGACACCGACGGGUGGAGCAGGUACGAAAGUAGGGCUUAGUGAUCCGGUGGUAUUAAGUGGGAAUGCCAUCGCUCAACGGAUAAAAGCUACCCUGGGAUAACAGGCUUAUCACUCCCAAGAGUUCACAUCGACGGAGUGGUUUGGCACCUCGAUGUCGGCUCAUCGCAUCCUGGGGCUGUAGUAGGUCCCAAGGGUUGGGCUGUUCGCCCAUUAAAGCGGUACGCGAGCUGGGUUCAGAACGUCGUGAGACAGUUCGGUCCCUAUCCGGCGUGGGCGUAGGAUAUCUGAGAGGAGCUGUCCUUAGUACGAGAGGACCGGGAUGGACGGGCCGCUGGUGCAUCGGUUAGACUGCCAAGUCUACGGCCGAGUAGCCAAGCCCGGAAGGGAUAAACGCUGAAGGCAUCUAAGCGUGAAGCCCCCCUUAAGAUGAGAUAUCCCAUUCGAAAGAAGUAAACCCCCUUGAAGACGACGAGGUAGAUAGGGCAGAGGUGGAAGUGUGGCAACACAUGGAGCUGACUGUUACUAAUCGGGUGAGGGCUUGACC